CCUAGAGGAAGUAAAAGUCGUAACAAGUCUCCGUUGGUGAACCAGCGGAGGGAUCAUUACCGAGUUUACAAACUCCCAACCCUUUGUGAACCUUACCUAUCGUUGCUUCGGCGGGAUCGCCCCGGGCCGGCCCUUCACGGGGCCUCCGGAACCAGGCGCCCGCCGGAGAACCCAAACUCUUUGUUUUUAUGGUUUUCUCCUCUGAGUGGAUUAUAAACAAAUAAAUCAAAACUUUCAACAACGGAUCUCUUGGUUCUGGCAUCGAUGAAGAACGCAGCGAAAUGCGAUAAGUAAUGUGAAUUGCAGAAUUCAGUGAAUCAUCGAAUCUUUGAACGCACAUUGCGCCCGCCAGUAUUCUGGCGGGCAUGCCUGUUCGAGCGUCAUUUCAACCCUCAGGCCCCCAGUGCCUGGCGUUGGAGAUCGGCCGUACGGCUGCAGCCCUCCGGGGAUGCGCGCCGGGCCGGCUCCGAAAUCUAGUGGCGGUCUCGCUGUAGUCCUCCUCUGCGUAGUAGCACAACCUCGCAGUUGGAACGCGGCGGUGGCCAUGCCGUUAACACCCCACUUCUGAAAGUUGACCUCGGAUCAGGUAGGAAUACCCGCUGAACUUAAGCAUAUCAUAGA
rnacentral:rRNA from 1 species